rnacentral:rRNA from 1 species
UACAGGGGGUGCAAACGUUGCUCGGAAUCAUUGGGCGUAUAGCGCACGUAGGCGGUUCGUUAUGUCGGAUGUGAAAGCCCUUGGCUUAACCGAGGAAGUGCAUCCGAAACUGGCGAGCUAGAGUACUAAAGAGGAUCGCGGAAUUCCCGGUGUAGAGGUGAAAUUCGUAGAUAUCGGGAGGAACACCAGUGGCGAAGGCGGCGAUCUGGGUCGAUACUGACGCUGAGGUGCGAAAGCGUGGGGAGCAAACAGG